GGCCUACCAUGGUGGUAACGGGUAACGGGGUGUUAGGGCACGACACCGGAGAGGGAGCUGAGAAACGGCUACCACAUCCAAGGAUGGCAGCAGGCGCGCAAAUUACCCAAUCCCGACACGGGGAGGUAGUGACAAUAAAUAACAAUACGGGGUUCUUUAGGAUUUCGUAAUUGGAAUGAGUACAAUUUAAAUCUCUUAACGAGGAACAAUUGGAGGGCAAGUCUGGUGCCAGCAGCCGCGGUAAUUCCAGCUCCAAUAGCGUAUAUUAAAGUUGUUGCAGUUAAAAAGCUCGUAGUUGAAUUUCGGGAUCAAUGUGUUGGUCGUGCCUCGGUACGUACUAGCAUAUUGGUUUCUCCUUUCUGAAGAACCAUGAUGUCAUUUAUUUGGUGUCGUGGGGAAUCAGGACUGUUACUUUGAAAAAAUUAGAGUGUUUAAAGCAGGCUCACGCUUGAAUACAUUAGCAUGGAAUAAUGAAAUAGGACGUUUGAUUCUAUUUUGUUGGUUUCUAGGAUCGACGUAAUGAUUAAUAGGGAUAGUUGGGGGCAUUAGUAUUCAAUUGUCAGAGGUGAAAUUCUUGGAUUUAUUGAAGACUAACUACUGCGAAAGCAUUUGCCAAGGAUGUUUUCAUUAAUCAAGAACGAAAGUUAGGGGAUCGAAGACGAUCAGAUACCGUCGUAGUCUUAACCAUAAACUAUGCCGACUAGGGAUCGGAUGAUGUUAAUUUUUUAAUGACUCAUUCGGCGCCUUACGGGAAACCAAAGUGUUUGGGUUC
rnacentral:rRNA from 1 species